AGGAGGAGAGAUGGAAGGAGGCACAUUAGGAGUAGUGGUGGUAGGAGCAAGGUUAGGGGAAUGAGCAAGGUUAGGAGUAGGAGCAAGGUUAGGGGAAUGAGCAAGGUUAGGAGUAGGAGCAAGGUUAGGGGAAGGACCAAGGUUAGG